UGACGUAAAUUUGUUAGUGCAGUAAAAUACGGUGUUAAGUAUCAACAAAUUUUCUUCUCUAAUAUUAGCAUUACGAUCAUUGUGUUAAAGAUAAUGUAUUUUGUUUCUAAUGUAAUUGACAUCGGUAUCUCAUAAAUUUAAGAGGGGGUAUUCUAAUCUAGAAAUAAAUUUGGGUGGUAAUUGUUGGGAUUUUUGUUGGCAAAAUACCAUUUUGAUGUAAUUGAUAGUAUAAAAUUAUUCAGCCUUCUCGAAGAGUCAAGAAGACUUGUUCAAUAAUUUAUACUAAUUUACAAGCACAAUGAGACCGGCCUUCACCCUUAACUGAAGUGUACUUGCUUUAACGUGUUCUUUUACGGCGUCUCGCUUACUUCGAACCUCUAUAACUUCGUCGAUUGUAUGUACAAAUAUCGCUAAAAUAUUUUGGAGAUUAAAUUCAUUGCGAGCCCCAAUAGUUUAAGAAAAUAAAAACAAGAAAUCAAUUUGUUUAAACUUGCGAGCUAUAAUACCGCUUGAUAUAUUUUAUAGUGAGGAUUUUACCCAUUCUUUUUUAAUUCGUUUUAAUAACCUUUGUUGAAUUUCAUUCUAUUCACUCAUACUUCGAACCUCCCUGAUCCGCUCGUUCACAAUUUUUUCAAAUUGAUAGCUGUCUAUAUCUUUAACAAUAUGUAGAUAUACGUAUAUUCGGAUAAUUUAUCAAUUUGCGGCCAUGAAUUAGCUAAUUUACGCUUUAAAUAUUAUAUAUGGGUAAAAAAUUAGACAAAUUUUGGAUUAAAGUGGUUCGAUAAAAAAUUUCCGAAUUUAAAUACAAAUCUCUAUUUAAUUUUAUAAAAUCCUGAAGUAAAGAUAAAAAUACAAUGAAGAAUAACAUUUCUUAAUUUUAAUCUAAUGGUUACAAAUAAUUGUUUCAGUAAACUAUUACCAAUGCUUUAAAAUAUUUACCGAAAAAAGUUUACAUGGUGGUUAUAUUUGAAUUUAAUUUAAUUAAAAGAAAAAGAAAUGUGCAUUAUGAAUCAGAAAAGAUGCCCUUUGUAGCAUCGUGUGUUUCUGUCCAGCAAUUGAUCGGUGAUUCUGAAUUUGAAGUCAAAGUAUCAAAAUUCAGAAUAGCUGACUAGUUAUAGCAGCUCAAAGUUCGAAUAUUUUUUAAUUUGUAUAAAUUCCUAUAUCAAUUAUACAAUUCAAAGGGUUUCUACCAAUAAGUACACGAGCGAAGGUUGGCGGCACUACGAUCGUUAUUCAUAAGUUAUGGAGAUAAAGAGUUUUUAGUGGUUUCCAAUGUAAUUUCUCAACAAUUUUACUAAGAAUCUUGAAAAGCCACAAUCACUGAAAGAGGCAAAUAUGGGACUACACUACUCGGACAAUAAGACUUAAUCAGUGUAGUAGAGUAUUAAAAAUUCCUAAGCUCUGAUGAGAUAUAUAUUAAUAAGAAAAAUAAAAAUGAUAGAGUCGACACUAAGUUUUUUGAUAGGAAUCUUAUGCUUCCUUUCAAGAUAGAAAAGUUAUUUGCUAAUUAUAUAAGUGUUAAAAGAGAUAGUAAAACCUAGAAAGAGAAGAUCCAAUAUCAUGAAUCAGAUCUGGAUUUACAGUGAGUGAAAGGAAGAGGGAAGACAAACCAGAGUAAAAAUGGGAUGAAAGGAAGAGGUAGAUGAAAGGGGAUGGGAAUUCUGAAAAAGCAAGAGCAAAGUAGAGAGGUCACUGAAGAGGUCUAGACAGGGGAAGGAGGUAAAAAGGAAUAUUUUGAGGAAAAGAGAAAGCACAAAAGGAUAUGCGAAAAGAACAAAAAGGAAAAAAACAAAAAGAGAAUACGAGAAGAUAUUAGAAAUUAUGGAUGAGAGUGAAGUAUGGAAAUAUAUGAGGAAGGAGAAAAAGCGAAAGUCAAGCUUACUGUUUUUUUUAGUUCAGACGAUUCUAGCAGAUAUCGUGCAAUCCCGUUCUCUUAUUACUGGUGCAGAUACCGCCACUUACAUAGUGGAGUGGCGAAAAGAAAUUUUUAAUGUAUUAUUUCGAAAUUUAAUAAUGUAGGAAUAAAACGUAAAAAAUUUGUUUAUUGUAUUUAUUGUAGUCUUCUUUAAAUAAAAUCUUUAAAAUGAGGUAUUUUGCGAGCAUUUUAACCCGAAUCACCCAUUAAAGGUUUGCCUUAUAUUACUAUUUGAACAGCAUUGUUGGAGAGUUGUCCUCCCCGUUUGAAAAGGAAAUUUAUACCCUUCGGUGGUGUUCAAAUAUUAGAUAGAAGAGGACCAGUCGUGGGAUUGAUAUUACAGCGCCUGUGAAGAUUUUAAGGAACCUGUCAUUCGAAAUUAGGUCAAAAAAUGUAUAUGAGCUGUGGUCCUUGUAAUAUGUAGCUAGAGUGUUUCAACAGUAGUUAUUAUAAUUGCUAAAUUUAAACUGUUCUGAAAAUGUAAAAUUAAUUAGUAAUUGGGCCAUUAAACGGACGUCGUAGUAUAAAGUUAUUAUUAUUAUGCUAUUAUAAAGUUAUAUGGCAACUUGUUGGUUUCUCGCAAAUUUGGUUGCACGAAUGCACUUUUUACCACCUGAAUUAUUGAUAGGUCAUUUAGUUGACUAAAUCUUACAUAAGCACAGUACACCAAGAGUUGGUUAUCGAAUAGUAGAAUUUUUUUAAAUAUGCAUAUGUAUAUAUGUACAUUCUACGAAAAUUACACGGUAAUAUUUUGCACAUCACUUUUUGCGGCAGUUUCUUAUUCUGACUUAUUUUAGUUCCCAUUAGAGUCCUGGCAAGAAAUUUUGUUGAAUCCUUUAAAAUUUAUUAUAGGAAAUAGUUUAUGUCAAUGGAAUCUGUGCCUAAAAGUCAGAAACUGUCUUCGAGAUGUUAUAAAGUCUUUGGAUACCGUAUAGACUAAGGAAUGUGAAGUAAAUCAUCUUUUCCCUUUUAA